AACGCGAAGAACCUUACCUGGGCUCGAAGCGCAGUGGACCGGGGUAGAAAUAUCCCUUCCCCUUAAAAGGACUGCUGCGGAGGUGCUGCAUGGCUGUCGUCAGCUCGUGUCGUGAGAUGUUGGGUUAAGUCCCGCAACGAGCGCAACCCUUAUCUCCAGUUGCUACCAUUUAGUUGAGCACUCUGGCGAAACCGCCUCGGAUAACGGGGAGGAAGGUGGGGAUGACGUCAAGUCCUCAUGGCCUUUAUGUCCAGGGCUACACACGUGCUACAAUGGCCGGUACAAACCGCUGCAACCCCGCGAGGGUGAGCUAAUCGGAAAAAGCCGGCCUCAGUUCGGAUUGGAGUCUGCAACUCGACUCCAUGAAGCUGGAAUCGCUAGUAAUCGUGGAUCAGCAUGCCACGGUGAAUACGUUCCCGGGCCUUGUACACACCGAUACUC
rnacentral:rRNA from 1 species